UAGCUUAAUUUAAAGCAUCCCGCUUACACCGGGGAAAUACCUGUGAGAUCCAGAUUGCUCCGA
rnacentral:tRNA from 1 species